rnacentral:rRNA from 1 species
UACGAAGGGGGCGAGCGUUGUUCGGAUUUACUGGGCGUAAAGGGCGCGCAGGCGGCUUAUUUUGUCAGGCGUGAAAGCCCCGGGCUUAACCUGGGAACUGCGUUUGAUACGGAUGGGCUAGAGUUCGGGAGAGGAGAGUGGAAUCCCAGUGUAGAGGUGAAAUGCGUAGAGAUCGGGAGGAACAUCAGUGGCGAAGGCGGCCAUCUGGGACAACACUGACGCUGAGGCACGAAAGCGUGGGGAGCAAACAGG